GGAGAGGAGAGGAGAGGAGAGGAGUGGAGUGGAGUGGAGAGGAGAGGAGAGGAGAGGAGACUGGCGGUCAUCUGCCCAGGACUUUCAUGCAUUCCAUAAUGCCAGCACUCAGCUUGUGUCUACCUCACCGCUUUGCCAUUC
rnacentral:miRNA from 1 species